rnacentral:rRNA from 1 species
UUAUCUAUUAAGAGCAUUUAGUGAAUGCCUAGACAGAAGAAGAUCAGGGACGUUAAACGCAACGAAACGCCAUAAGUAAGGUGCGAAAAUCCCGAGAACUAUGGAUUUCCCUUAAGGAAACUACAAGAUUACAUUUGACCUAGUGAACUGAAACAUCUAAGUAACUAGAGGAAAAGAAAUCAACCGAGACUCCGUUAGUAGUGGUGAGCGAACACGGAUUAGGCCUUCAUUCUUUCAAAAUUUUUUAUAUUGAAGUUGGUUGGAAAACCACGCCAAAGAAGGUGAUAGCCCCGUAAACCUAUGUUAAUUGGAAAAAGAAUGAAAACACGAGUAAAACGAAGAUCUCCUUUGUUUGAAUUAGGGGGACCACCCUCUAAGCCUAAGUACAUUCUUCUGAUCGAUAGUGAACAAGUACCGUGAGGGAAAGGUGAAAUAGACCCCUAAAUAGGGAGUGAAACAGAUCCUGAAACUGAAUGCUUACAAGCAGUCGAAGCUUUAAAAUAAAAGUAACGGCGUACCUUUUGCAUAAUGGGUCAGCGAGUAAAUUUAUGAAGCAAGCCUAAGCUCUUAGGUGGAGGCGGAGUUAAAGCAAGCUUUAAAAGAGCAAGUUAAUUGUUCCUUUUUUUUUUAGAGGAAUCAAACAAGUUUCUUAAAUUUGACCCGAAACCAAGCGAUCUAAUCAUGAGCAGGUUGAAAAAAUGAUAAUACGUUUUGGAGGACCGAACCCACAUCUGUGGCAAUAGAUGGGGAUGACUUGUGAUUAUGGGGUGAAAAGCCAAUCGAGCUUGGAAAUAGCUGGUUUUCUGCGAAAUCUAUUGAGGUAGAGCGUAUACAUGAAAAGUAAAAAGGAGGUAGAGCACUCGUUGGGUGAUGGUGGCCCAAAGCCUUACUGAUCCCAUGGAAACUCCGAAUACCUUGUUACUAUGUAUACAGACAGACUAGAGGCGCUAAGGUUUCUAGUCAAAAGGGAAACAACCCUGAUCGAACGCUAAGGUUCUCAAGCAAUUUCUGAGUGGUAAAGGAAGUUUCUAGGCGAAGACAACCAGGAGGUAGGCUUGGAAGCAGCCAUCCUUUUAAGAAAGCGUAAUAGCUCACUGGUCUGUUGACAACUGCUGACAACUACACGUAGUUGUCACUACGGAGUUGUCACUGUCUAGGAGCACCUAAAAUGUAUCGGAGCUCAAGAUAUUCACCGAAGCGGCGAUUUUCGUUCUUGUCCUUAAAACUGGGUUUUAAGGUAAAAAAUGAAAAGGUAGCAGAACGUUCUGUAAAUCAUUGAUGUUUCAUUGUAAAAUGAAAUUAAGAUAUCAGAAGUGAGAAUGCUGACAUGAGUAACGAAAAAUCAUGUGAAAAUCAUGAUAGCCGAAAGUCCUAGGUUUUCUACAGACCGUUUCUCGGUGUAGAGUGAAUCGGCCCCUAAGCUUAGAGCGAUAGCUUUUGAGUAAUGGGCACAAUGAUUAAGAUUCAUUGAUGUUUUAUCUAGUGACGGCCAAGAAGACACUGGGCAAGAUACUGGAUAUCUUGUUGCGUGACUUUCUGAUUUCAUUCUAAAUUCUUUGAAUUUGGAAUAGGAGAGGCAUUCUCUUUUUAAAAAGAGAAGACAGUGUCACAUGGUCCAGGAAAAAACUAGAUUUUUUCAAUUUUUUUCUUUAUGGUUCUUUUCUUUUCUAUUUUUAAAAAAAUAGAAAAGAAAAGAACCAUAAAGAAAAACAAAAAGAAAAGAAAAAAACACCGUACUUAAACCGACACUGGUGGACUUGUUGUAAAAACUAAGGCUAAGAGAGAAUCAUGUUGAAGGAACUCGGCAAAUUACCUCCGUAACUUCGGAAUAAGGAGGACAUGAAAUGUUUGUUUUUCAUUGUUCUUUUCUUUUACUUGAAAAGAAAAGAACAAUGAAAACAAAACUUCCAUGUGGCACAGAAUAGGGGGUGGCGACUGUUUACUAAAAACACAGGACUCUGCUAAGUGGUAACACGAUGUAUAGGGUCUGACACCUGCCCGGUGCUGGAAACUUAACAGGAAGGGUACGUCUCUUUUAGGAGACAAGCUCUGAAUUCAAGGCCCAGUAAACGGCGGCCGUAACUCUGACGGUCCUAAGGUAGCGAAAUUCCUUGUCGGGUAAGUUCCGACCUGCAUGAAUGGUGUCACGACUUCCCCGCUGUCUCCAACAUGAUCUCAGUGAAAUUGAAUUCUCCGUGAAGAUGCGGAGUUCCCGAAAGUAGACGGUAAGACCCUAUGCACCUUUACUAUAAUUUAGCAUUGAAAAAAGAGUCUAAAUGUGUAGAAUAGGUGGGAGUUUUUUUUCAGUUCAUUGAAGAAAAACAUCAAUGAAAUACCACCCUUUUUUUCUCAUUUUUCUAACCUUAAAAAAAAUCUUCCAAUUUUGUUCCAUUUUUUAUUAAAAAAUGGAAACAAAUUAGAAUAAUUUGGAACAGAAAAAGGGACCAUGUUAAAUGGGUAGUUUGACUGGGGCGGUCGCUUCCUAAAGAGUAACGGAAGUGUGCGAAGGUAAGCUCAAGCUGGACGGAAAUCAGCUGAAGAGCGUAAUGGUAGAAGCUUGCCUGACUGUAAGACUUACAAGUCAAGCAGAGACGAAAGUCGGCCAUAGUGACCCGGGAGUUCUUGGUGGAAAGGCUCUCGAUCAACGGAUCAAAGGUACGCUAGGGAUAACAGGCUGAUGACUCCCAAGAGCUCUUAUCGACGGAGUCGUUUGGCACCUCGAUGGUGUCGACUCAUCGCAUCCUCGAGCUGAAGAAGGUUCGAAGGGUUCGGCUGUUCGCCGAUGAAAGCGGUACGUGAGUUGGGUUUAGUACGUCGUGAGACAGUACGGAUCCUAUCUUUUUCGGGUGUGAAAAAUUGAGAGAACCAUUCCCUUGUACGAGAGGACCGGGAAUGACGAACCUCUAGUGUAUCAGUUGUUGCGCCAGCAGCAUCGCUGAGUAGCUACGUUCGGAACGUAGAACUGCUGAAAGCAUCUCAAGCAGGAAUUCGUUUCUCAAAACAAGUUUUUGAGUUCGUAGAAGACUACUACGUAAUAGGCGAAAUGUAUAUUCAUAGUGAUAUG